UACGUAGGUAGCGAGCGUUGUUCGGAGUUACUGGGCGUAAAGGGUGCGUAGGCGGUUGUUUAAGUUUGGUGUGAAAUCUCCCGGCUCAACUGGGAGGGUGCGCCGAAUACUGAAUGACUAGAGUGCGGGAGAGGAGAGUGGAAUUCCUGGUGUAGCGGUGGAAUGCGCAGAUAUCAGGAAGAACACCCGUGGCGAAGGCGGCUCUCUGGAACGCAACUGACGCUGAGACGCGAAAGCGUGGGGAGCAAACAGG
rnacentral:rRNA from 1 species